rnacentral:rRNA from 1 species
CAUGGCUGUCGUCAGCUCGUGUCGUGAGAUGUUGGUUAAGUCCCGCAACGAGCGCAACCCCUAUCUUUAGUUGCCAUCAUUGAGUUGGGCACUCUAAAGAGACUGCCGGUAGUCAAACCGGAGGAAGGUGGGGAUGACGUCAAGUCCUCAUGGCCUUUAUGACCAGGGCUACACACGUACUACAAUGGCCGGUACAAAGGGCAGCGACACAGCGAUGUGAAGCGAAUCCCGAAAAGCCGGUCUCAGUCCGGAUUGGAGUCUGCAACUCGACUCCAUGAAGUUGGAAUCGCUAGUAAUCGCGGAUCAGCACGCCGCGGUGAAUACGUUCCCGGGCCUU